UACGUAGGGUGCGAGCGUUAAUCGGAAUUACUGGGCGUAAAGCGUGCGCAGGCGGUUUUGUAAGCCAGAUGUGAAAGCCCCGGGCUCAACCUGGGAAUGGCAUUUGGGACUGCAAGGCUUGAGUGCGGCAGAGGAGACUGGAAUUCCUGGUGUAGCAGUGAAAUGCGUAGAUAUCAGGAGGAAUACCGAUGGCGAAGGCGGCAUUCUGGACCAUUACUGACGCUGAGGAGCGAAAGCCAGGGGAGCAAACGGG
rnacentral:rRNA from 1 species